rnacentral:lncRNA from 1 species
AAGAAUAAAUCAGAUUGUCUAACAUAAUUAUCUAGGCAAACCGUAGCAAAAAAAAAAAUAGAGUAAACAACAAAGCAUGAGCAAGUGUAAGUAAUGAGAGAUCAACACAAGAAUUUUUCUCAGUCACCCAAACCCUAGUGAUAGUUGUUGUUAGACGAUUAAAUUAAAAAAAUACAGUUCUAGUGCAAAGGUUGUGUAACAAAAC